rnacentral:rRNA from 1 species
CAGUAGCCGCGGUAAUACAGAGGGUGCGAGCGUUAAUCGGAUUUACUGGGCGUAAAGCGUGCGUAGGCGGCUUCUUAAGUCGGAUGUGAAAUCCCUGAGCUUAACUUAGGAAUUGCAUUCGAUACUGGGAAGCUAGAGUAUGGGAGAGGAUGGUAGAAUUCCAGGUGUAGCGGUGAAAUGCGUAGAGAUCUGGAGGAAUACCGAUGGCGAAGGCAGCCAUCUGGCCUAAUACUGACGCUGAGGUACGAAAGCAUGGGGAGCAAACAGGAUUAGAUACCCCAGUAGUCCCUGUCUCUAUACA